rnacentral:rRNA from 1 species
UAAAGGUUUGGUCCUGACUUUACUAUCAACUUUAGCUAAACUUACACAUGCAAGUAUCCGCACCCCUGUGAGAAUGCCCUACAGUUCCCUGCUCGGGAACAAGGAGCCGGUAUCAGGCACACCCCAAAUACAAGCCCAUGACACCUUGCUUAGCCACACCCCCAAGGGAACUCAGCAGUGAUAAACAUUAAGCCAUAAGUGAAAACUUGACUUAGUUAAAGCUAAGAGGGUCGGUAAAACUCGUGCCAGCCACCGCGGUUAUACGAGAGACCCAAGUUGUUAGACACCGGCGUAAAGAGUGGUUAAGAUACCCCCCCCCCCAACUAAAGCCGAACGCCCUCAGAGCUGUUAUACGCAUCCGAAGGUAAGAAGCCCGACCACGAAAGUGGCUUUAUAUUGUCCGAACCCACGAAAGCUAUGACACAAACUAGGAUUAGAUACCCUAUUAU